GCGAGAAAAAGGGCUUUAAAAAUUACUGCAGAACGGGGUCCUCUGUAGCAAUAGAAUGUGUCAAAGUUUUUUAAUUACGCUAAAAGAGACUUCUACACACACAGUGAACUACUCUUCCAAAAAGCAUUUGCUUCUGUAAGUAACGAGACAGAUGCACAAAAACUUCCUAUUAAUGUUAAUUCUCUCAAUAGCUUUGGUAUACGUUUUUCCAAUGUAUACAUCAAUGGAAGCCUUCUCUGGGUGGUACUUUUACCAGGCAUGCUACAGGGGCUGACUGGCUGUCAUUGCAUAGAGAUAGACCCUGGACUGGCUUCUCCAAACCCUUUCUUGUCCCCUUAAAAAUCCUCGAACUGCUCAUGUCUCCACAGAAUCAGUACACGGAGCAGGGCGGUGAGUGCUGGUUUGCUCUGCUGGCUCUGCAGGGCUGAACUAGCCAGGUUUGACUUGGAGACACUGAGAGAACAAUGAUGCAUCCAACGAGGUUGUGGUCACCUGUAUCUGAACUGUUUAAUGGAUAAAUUACCCUGUGCUAUUUGCCAGGAUGAUUGGAAGAAGGAGAGUUAAACCUAUUGUUUUCUCAGGCCAAAAGGCUGCUGGAAAUGUAUAAAAACCCUGGGACACGAUCCUGCUUCAUCUCAGAUCUGCUUUGGGUUUCAAGAGGGGGAAACUUUAAGCCACAAGGAUUGAGAUUCCCAGUCAUUGACUGGAGCCACCUUGAAUAUAGACAUUGGACUAUAACCUCUGGACUAUUUCUAAAAGGACUUUUGGCAACUGCAAGCUCAUCUCUGCUAUGUGCCUGAACCUCAAGAAUUGAAUUCAAGUCUGUCUGUAUAUUGAUCUUUUAACCAACACUCUCUCCCUUUUCUUUUUAAAUAAAUUUGAGCUUAGUUAAUAAGAA